rnacentral:tRNA from 1 species
UAGAUGUAUAAUAAGACUUCUAAUCUUUCAAUAGUGCUCUCACUACAUCUUUA